CAGGCCUAACACAUGCAAGUCGAACGGGAUCCAAAGGCUUUUUGUUUUUGGUGAGAGUGGCGGACGGGUGAGUAACACGUGAGUAACCUGCCCCCUUCUUUUGGAUAACCGCAUGAAAGUGUGGCUAAUACAGGAUAAUCCAGGCUGGUCGCAUGAUUGGUUUGGGAAAUGGUUUGGUCUGGUGGGGGAUGGGCUCGCGGCCUAUCAGCUUGUUGGUGGGGUGAUGGCCUACCAAGGCGGUGACGGGUAGCCGGCCUGAGAGGGUGGGCGGUCACACUGGGACUGAGAUACGGCCCAGACUCCUACGGGAGGCAGCAGUGGGGGGAUUUUGCACAAUGGGCGCAGCCUGAUGCAGCGACGCCGCGUGAGGGAUGAAGGCCUUCCGGUUGUAAACCUCUUUCGCUGGGUUGAAAGGCCAUGCUUUGGGUGUGGGUGAUUUGAACUGGUAAAGAAAUACCGGCUAACUACGUGCCAGCAGCCGCGGUAAUACAUAAGGUACUAGCGUUGUCCGGAUUUAUUGUGGCGUAAAAGGCUUGUAUGUGGUUUGUCGCGUCUGUCGUGAAAUCCUGUGGCUUAACCAUGGGCUUGCGGUGGGUACGGGCAGGCUUGAGUGCGGUAAGGGGAGACUGGAAAUUCCUGGUGGUAGCGG
rnacentral:rRNA from 1 species